UUUUGAAAAAUGCCUCUGGACGUGUCAAUGUCUUGUAGGAUCUGGACCCACGUAUCAUUCUCACAUCCAGUGGCAUUUUUCGAAAUG